AUUGAACGCUGGCGGCAUGCCUUACACGUGCAAGUCGAACGGCAGCAUGAUCUAGCUUGCUAGAUUGAUGGCGAGUGGCGAACGGGUGAGUAAUACAUCGGAACGUGCCCUGUAGUGGGGGAUAACUAGUCGAAAGAUUAGCUAAUACCGCAUACGACCUGAGGGUGAAAGUGGGGGACCGCAAGGCCUCAUGCUAUAGGAGCGGCCGAUGUCUGAUUAGCUAGUUGGGGAGGUAAAGGCUCACCAAGGCGACGAUCAGUAGCUGGUCUGAGAGGACGAGCGGCCACCCUGGGACUUGGCCACGGCCCAGGCUCCUACGGGAGGCAGCAGUGGGGAAUUUUGGACAAUGGGCGAAAGCCUGAUCCAGCAAUGCCGCGUGUGUGAAGAAGGCCUUCGGGUUGUAAAGCACUUUUGUCCGGAAAGAAACGGCUCUGGUUAAUACCUGGGGUCGAUGACGGUACCGGAAGAAUAAGGACCGGCUAACUACGUG
rnacentral:rRNA from 1 species